rnacentral:rRNA from 1 species
AACGAGCGCAACCCUUGCCUUUAGUGCCAGCAGUUCGGCUGGGCACUCUAAAGGGACUGCCGGGUGUUAAACCGGAGGAAGGUGGGGAUGACGUCAAGUCCUCAUGGCCUUUAUGACCAGGGCUACACACGUACUACAAUGGCCGAUACAAAGGGCAGCGACACUGCGAGGUGAAGCCAAUCCCGUAAAAUCGGUCUCAGUCCGGAUUGGAGUCUGCAACUCGACUCCAUGAAGUUGGAAUCGCUAGUAAUCGUGGAUCAGCAUGCCACGGUGAAUACGUUCCCGGGCCUU